rnacentral:lncRNA from 1 species
CUGCCUUCUAAGAGUUCAGUUGGAGCCAAUGUCUUUCUUUUGAACAUCUUGUGCCAGGAUUUGAAAUUAAGCUCCAGUUCAUCCGUACACCCCGCGGCCGCUUUCGCAAGGGGCCGAGGGGGUGGCGGCCUCGCCCGGGGACUCGCGGCGCUGGGAGCUGCCUGCCCUCGGUGCGGGCUGCAGACCGGGCCGCGAGGCGGGCCGGGCGCGGGCGCGCAACAGGACCAGCGGGCUCCAGGCCCGGGUGGGGCCGCGCCGCCGACCCCCGGGCGGGGCGCGGGCGCCAGGAGCCCGGGGUUCCGGGCCGCGAUCUGCUGCAGCUCGGCCGGGAGACGGCGCGACCCGGCGGCGGGGCCACCCGCGAGUCCAGCGUCGCCGCAGCCCCCCAAUGCGGCCGCGAGAAGCAGCGGGGGGGCAGGCGAUCGAAGGACUGUCAAACUAGGAGUGCAUCUCGGGGACACUCAGAAGCACUAGGAGCUGUCACAGAAGCACCACAUGGAACCCUGUUUGAUGACCCCGAGCAAUUAGAACUCAUUUGCAUGGCAUGGAAGGCCAAGGGGGGGCCCCCGAGGCUUUUUCAGCUCCCCCUUCUUCCGCGACUUCUCUGUAGACAGGUGCAUACUUCUGGCUAUGGCAAGGGCCAGCUGGCAGGAGGACUCUAACUUGUCAUCACAGAAAUAAAAUGUGUCACCUCUGUGUUCCCAACCUCUGUUCCUUCAUGUUUAACCAGCACUCUGCAUCUUUAUAAACAUGUCAGGGUUCUAUUUUUAUUUCCUAAUUAAUUCAGAAAAGGAGCAGAAGACAUUGCUAGUGAUAGGAAAGGGGACGAUCACAAAGGUAGGACUAAGGGUGGCUUUUAUUUUUCAGUUGAAUGAGGCAAUUGAAUGAAUAUGUGGCAUCCAGCAAUUAGAAAAAUUACUUAGGGCCAGCCAGUGCCUGGGCGAUUCUUGGGCUGCCCUGAAACUGGUCAGAAUUUAUU